AAAUGGUUACGUGGGACGACCACGUCAGCAGCCACAGCAAACCAAAACAUGCCGCGUGGUAGCGAUGCUGACAUCGGCUCCAGCAAGAGGCCAUGCGGGUGAUACGCGUGCUUAGGUGAUCUGACGGUCCAGAUCAUAUCUCGCGUGCAUGGACGACUUAUACAUUUUCCCUCCAAGCAUAAUCCAAUGAUCAGAUUUAAUCUGAUCGUGCAGCUUAGAUUCAUUUCCGAAUAAGAAGGAUCCAACAGACAGGAAAAAGCUACGUGUCUCCGCACGGACGACCUAGAUCGACUCGGAGAAAGUAUUUAAAUGUCGCGUUCUAGGGAACCCUAAUCCUGGCUGCCCCAGUCCUCGUCGGUAUGCUUUAGUUUUUUGUCUUU
rnacentral:lncRNA from 1 species